rnacentral:rRNA from 1 species
ACUACGGGAGGCAGCAGUGAGGAAUAUUGGUCAAUGGGCGCUAGCCUGAACCAGCCAAGUAGCGUGAAGGAUGACUGCCCUAUGGGUUGUAAACUUCUUUUAUAUGGGAAUAAGUGAAGUAUGUAUACUGCUUUGCAUGUACCUUAUGAAUAAGGAUCGGCUAACUCCGUGCCAGAAGCCGCGGUACUACGGAGGAUCAGAGCGUUAUACGGUUUUAUUGGGGUUAAAGGGAGAGUAGGCGGGUUGUUAAGGCAGUUGUGAAAGUUUGCGGCUCAACCGUAAAAUUGCAGUUGAUACUGGCAUCCUUGAGUACAGUAGAGGUAGGCGGAAUUCGUGGUGUAGCGGUGAAAUGCUUAGAUAUCACGAAGAACUCCGAUUGCGAAGGCAGCCUGCUGGACUGUAACUGACGCUGAUGCUCGAAAGUGUGGGUAUCAAACAGGAUUAGAUACCCGGGUAGUC